AUGAAACACUCCUACGGGAGGCAGCAGUGGGGAAUCUUCCGCAAUGGGCGCAAGCCUGACGGAGCAACGCCGCGUGAGUGAAGAAGGUCUUCGGAUCGUAAAGCUCUGUUGAUGGGGACGAACGUGCCUAAUGCGAAUAGUUUUAGGUAAUGACGGUACCCAUCGAGGAAGCCACGGAUAACUACGUGCCAGCAGCCGCGGUAAUACGUAGGUGGCGAGCGUUGUCCGGAAUCAUUGGGCGUAAGGGGAGCGCAGGCGGGCAUGUAAGUCUUUCUUAAAAGUGCGGGGCUCAACCCCGUGAUGGGAAAGAAACUAUGUGUCUUGAGUACAGGAGGGGAAAGCGGAAUUCCCAGUGUAGCGGUGAAAUGCGUAGAUAUUGGGAGGAACACCAGUGGCGAAGGCGGCUUUCUGGACUGCAACUGACGCUGAGGCUCGAAAGCCAGGGGAGCGAACGGGAUUAGAUACCCUAGUAGUCCGAAGUUC
rnacentral:rRNA from 1 species